CAAAAUGCUGCACAGGCCCAAAUAAAGACAACUAUAGACACAUAGCAGAGGUUUCCUGCUUCAAGUAGCUAUUAUAUUAACCUACACUUUAGGCAAAGAGCAUUUUAGGUUUCACACUGAUGAAAACAUAGGAUGAGCAGAAGCAUCAAUAAAAGUUGCACCUUUAAUGAAACAGAUGAAACAGGCCAGCAAAGUCCACAGGUAUGGGAUCAUCCUGCUGGAACAAAAUGCAUGUACUGGAACUCCAGUGCCAUUUUUUGGAAGACUGUGGAUACACUGAAGGCAUUUCCCAGCAUGAUCUGAAAGGGAAAAUGGUGAAGAAGCCAGAAAAAGAGGGAGGCAAAACCACCACCAAUGCACCAAGUGUUAUUGCAGGAAUAGCAGCAUGGCCAAGGUACCUCCAUCCCUUCUCUCUGAUGGCAAUCACAUCACAGGAUCUGCAAGGAGUGGAUCCAUGAGAGCUGUCGUUUGAAUUCCUGUGACACUGCAUGCGCGGAGACCUGGUUCAAUUACCUGACAGAAGCACACAGACUUCUUGUUUGUGACAAACUGGGGAAAGCACUGCUUGGGGACACUGAUUAACACCUUCUAACAGAGUUCUGAUUACUUUAAUCCAGUGACUUAGCUUACCAGUAAAUUAUCUCUUUUCAAGAUAGCG